rnacentral:sRNA from 1 species
GAUACCAGGGGCAAAAGGUCAAAAUGCCGUUCAUGCUUGCAUGAUAAGGUAUUUGAGCUUUUGGGCUGCCAAGCAUAAGGAAGUAGCGAUUUACGCAGUAAAUCAGCGGAUUCCGAAUGUUUGUCGAAUUGCGGGAGCUGCUAAGCAGCGGAGCAAUUCGCAGGCAUC